rnacentral:lncRNA from 1 species
AAUGAAUAUUUCAACUUAAAAAACCCUUGAUCUAAAGUCAAGUGGAAUUUUCAAAACUUAUCAUCUUUCGAUCGAUCCCGAAUCAUCACAUCUCAAACUUCGAUCCAUAUAAAGUGCAUUUUUCUAAAUUAAAAUAAAAUACCUAAUCAUUUUUAAACUUCUUUUCACAAAUAAUAUGAAAAAGGAAUUGUUUGGUGUCUACCACUCUUUUCCCCGAUUAUUUGGAUAAAAGCCAUAUAGGUCGACCAUUCGAAUAUUCGUC